UCUCUCUCUCUCUCUCUCUCUCUCUCUCUCUCUCUCUCUCUCUCUCACACACACACACACACACACACACACACACACACACACCACUCACUCUCUCAAACCACUCACAGAUUCAGUCACCAAUGCCACAAUGCCACACAACCUACCAUACUCUCAUAAUCAGGCUUGAAUUGCUUCCCAGAACAGUGUACAAAUCAUGCACCAUAUAGAUCAGCUGAUCUUUUUGGUGUUCAGAUUUGGCUAUUUCUCAUCACAGAGCCUCUGAACAGGAAGCUCUCAGAGGAACACAGUGCUAGAACUAGUAA